rnacentral:lncRNA from 1 species
GGUCUGAUGCCAGCUCCUGCAGUGGGGCCACGGCUCAGGAAAGCAGCACUGAACAUUGGGGUAGGGGAAGGGGCCCUUAGGGAGAUUCCAGGGUCUCUAGAAUGGGUUCUGUCUGGGGCUGACUUAUCUGUCCUGUGUGCCAUGGAGACCAGAUGGAGAGCUGCGGACAGGCGUGUGUCCUGCUCUGGUUCCAUCUUGGUACGUAUGCCCAUCUGCAAGGCAGAGGGGAAGGAAGAAAGGAGCAGCCUCCUGCCCUGCUUUCCUGUGCUGCUCUCUCCUGCACAGCCCUGCU